rnacentral:rRNA from 1 species
GAUGAACGCUGGCGGCGUGCCUAAUACAUGCAAGUCGAGCGAAUGGAUUAAGAGCUUGCUCUUAUGAAGUUAGCGGCGGACGGGUGAGUAACACGUGGGUAACCUGCCCAUAAGACUGGGAUAGCUCCGGGAAACCGGGGCUAAUACCGGAUAACAUUUUGAACCGCAUGGUUCGAAAUUGAAAGGCGGCUUCGGCUGUCACUUAUGGAUGGACCCGCGUCGCAUUAGCUAGUUGGUGAGGUAACGGCUCACCAAGGCAACGAUGCGUAGCCGACCUGAGAGGGUGAUCGGCCACACUGGGACUGAGACCCGGCCCAGACUCCUACGGAAGGCAGCAGUAGGGAAUCUUCCGCAAUGGACGAAAGUCUGACGGAGCAACGCCGCGUGAGUGAUGAAGGCUUUCGGGUCGUAAAACUCUGUUGUUAGGGAAGAACAAGUGCUAGUUGAAUAAGCUGGCACCUUGACGGUACCUAACCAGAAAGCCACGGCUAACUACGUGCCAGCCGCCGCGGUAA